GACGAACGCUGGCGGCGUGCCUAAUACAUGCAAGUCGAACGCACUCUCGUUUAGAUUGAAGGAGCUUGCUCCUGAUUGAUAAACAUUUGAGUGAGUGGCGGACGGGUGAGUAACACGUGGGUAACCUGCCCUAAAGUGGGGGAUAACAUUUGGAAACAGAUGCUAAUACCGCAUAAAACCUAAACACCGCAUGGUGUAGGGUUGAAAGAUGGUUUCGGCUAUCACUUUAGGAUGGACCCGCGGUGCAUUAGUUAGUUGGUGAGGUAAAGGCUCACCAAGACCGUGAUGCAUAGCCGACCUGAGAGGGUAAUCGGCCACACUGGGACUGAGACACGGCCCAGACUCCUACGGGAGGCAGCAGUAGGGAAUCUUCCACAAUGGACGAAAGUCUGAUGGAGCAACGCCGCGUGAGUAGAAGAAGGUUUCGGAGUACGUAAACUCUGUUGUUGGAGAAGAAUGUAUCUGAUAGUAACUGAU
rnacentral:rRNA from 1 species